UGAGUCUGCGUGCAGUGGUGAUGUUCAGUGAGCAUGUGUGUAGCUGUGAUGUUAAGUGAGCCUGCGUGUAGCUGUGAUGUUCAGUAAGCCUGCGUGUAGUGGUGAUGUUAAGUGAGCCUGCUUAGGGGCGUGAUGUUAAGUGAGCCUGCGUGUAGCAGUGAUGUUCAGUAAGCCUGUGUGUAGCAGUGAUGUUCAGUGAGGCUGUGUGUAGCUGUGAUGUUAAGUGAGCCUGCGUGUAGCAGUGAUGUUCAGUAAGCCUGUGUGUAUCUGUGAUGUUAAGUGCCUAGCGUUGUGCAGGUCUGUUGCUAUGCAGCAGGGAUGCCCAGCUCAGCUCCUGACGGCGGCCAUUUGCAGAGGCAGGACUGAGAGAGACGAACAGACGCUGCAGCUGCGGCAUUCAGAGACCGGCAAGACUAAUC